rnacentral:rRNA from 1 species
UGGGGAAUUUUGGACAAUGGGCGAAAGCCUGAUCCAGCAAUGCCGCGUGUGUGAAGAAGGCCUUCGGGUUGUAAAGCACUUUUGUCCGGAAAGAAAUCCUUGGCUCUAAUACAGUCGGGGGAUGACGGUACCGGAAGAAUAAGCACCGGCUAACUACGUGCCAGCAGCCGCGGUAAUACGUAGGGUGCAAGCGUUAAUCGGAAUUACUGGGCGUAAAGCGUGCGCAGGCGGUUUGCUAAGACCGAUGUGAAAUCCCCGGGCUCAACCUGGGAACUGCAUUGGUGACUGGCAGGCUAGAGUAUGGCAGAGGGGGGUAGAAUUCCACGUGUAGCAGUGAAAUGCGUAGAGAUGUGGAGGAAUACCGAUGGCGAAGGCAGCCCUCUGGGCCAAUACUGACGCUCAUGCACGAAAGCGUGGGGAGCAAACAGGAUUAGAUACCCUGGUAGUCCACGCCCUAAACGAUGUCAACUAGUUGUUGGGGAUUCAUUUCCUAGUAACGUAGCUAACGCGUGAAGUUGACCGCCUGGGGAGUACGGUCGCAAGAUUAAAACUCAAAGAAUUGACGGGGUCAUAGCUGUUUCC